GGUACUCCUUUGGUAAUGUUGCUGUGGUAAAGGGCUGAACAGAAUGGACCACAUACUCACAUAAAUUAAGCCUGGUGAUCCUACGCCCCUGCCUGAAAUGACGCUGGUGCUUGUAGGAGGUGUUUUUCUCUGGGCUGUGAGACUAGUGAGAUGCUGAAGCUGAGCACGGAACAGAUUCGCAGCUGAUUGCCCUGAUUGGAGCCUGGGAGGUGCUGUGCCCAAGUCAAGCAUCCAAAGGGUGCCAACUGCAUUGCUGCCAAGGUUGGGAAAAGCGUGGCCGUGUUUGGGGCUCCCUGUGGCCUCCUCACUGGGACAGCCUUUCACCAUUGACACGUGUCUCAGAGUGCCAAGGUCACAGACAAAAGGUGUCUCCAAUGAAGAUUUGACUGUGCGACUGAGCACGCUGCUCAUGAAAAGAGAUCUGAAUGAAACAGAAUUUGAUUUCAAAAACUGCAUCCUUCCCACUGAAAUGAAGAAAGGUAGAAUUCUCUGCAAAGUGCAAUAUUGA
rnacentral:lncRNA from 1 species